rnacentral:sRNA from 1 species
UUCCACAGCGGCUCCACCAUCUUAGGUUCCCACCAGCAACAUGAGGUUCCAGUUUCUCCACAUCCUCGACAACCUGUUACUAUGUCUUUUUUGUUCUGGACAUUCCUGCUGAACGGGUGGCUUGCUGUGGGCUUUUCUCAGUUCCCUGUUGACCAACAUUAAGCGUCUUUUCAUGUGCUUGGCCAUUUGUGUAUCUUCUCUGGGGAAAUGUCUAUUCAAAUCCUUUCUCCGUAUUUUAGUUGGGCUUUUGAGAUAGGAUCUCGCUCUGUCGCUCAGGCUGAAGUGCAGUGGCAUGAUCUUGGCUCACUGCAGCCUCCGCCUCCCAGGUUCAAGCGAUUCUCCCACCUCAGCCUCCCGAGUAGCUGUGACUACAGGUGCGCACCACCAGGCCUGGCUAGUUUUUGUAUUUUUGGCCAGGUUGGUCUCAAAUUCCUGACCUCAAAGUGCUGGGAUGACAGGCGUGAGCCGCCGUGCCCAGCAGUUGGGUUGUUUUUUAUUAGAGUUUUUUCUGUUUUUCUGCAGAUACAUUGGCUAGAAAUGACUGAGUUGGAAGAAUUCUCUGUAUUCUCUGGUUGCUAGAACUUUAUCAGUACAAUUUGCAGAAAAUUUCUCCAAUUCUAUGGACAGUCUCUUAAAUUUUCUUGGUGUCUUUGGAAGCACAGAGUAUUUAUCUUGGUAAUAUCUGGUUUACUUUGUUUUCCUUUGCCAAAUCCAGGUUCAUGAAGAUUUGCACGUUUUCUUCUAAAAGUUCUAUAGUUUUAGCUCUGAAGUUUAGCUCUUUGAUCCACUUUGAGGUAAAUUUUGGCACACGGUAUGAGGCAGGAGUUGCAUUUCAUUCUCCUGCCUGGGGUGGCGCCUGCACCGUGUUGAAAAGGUUGUCCGUUCCCACUGAACGGUCACGGCUCCCUUGUCUAAGAUCAAUGGCCCCUGAACACGAGGGUUCCAACUAGACUCUUAGUUCUACUCCACUGGCCUGCAUCUGCUCACCAUUAGUACCGCUGUGCCAUGCCGAAGUCAGGCUGGGGCUUUUGUAGGCUGCUGGGUGAGCUGGAGAAUGCGGUCGUGUGACCCGCAGGAAGGGCAGAGCUGAGCGUAUGAUCUGUGUCGUUCCCCUCCAGAAAUACCCGCAGCCCAAAGGGCAGAAGAAGAAGAAGAUCGUCAAGUACGGCAUGGGUGGCCUCAUCAUCCUCUUCCUCAUCGCCAUCAUCUGGUUCCCGCUGCUCUUCAUGUCGCUGGUGCGCUCCGUGGUCGGGGUUGUCAACCAGCCCAUCGAUGUCACUGUCACCCUCAAGCUCGGUGGCUAUGAGCCGCUGUUCACCAUGAGCGCCCAGCAGCCGUCCAUCACCCCCUUCACGGCCCAGGCCUAUGAGGCGCUGUCCCGGCAGUUUGACCCCCAGCCGGUAAGUGGCCUCCGCCCUGGGACAGCUGGGGGGGAGGUGGCUGCAGUCACUGAGGGUGUCAUUUGUACCCAGCUGGCCAUGCAGUUCAUCAGCCAGUACAGCCCUGAGGACAUCGUCACGGCACAGAUAGAGGGCAGCUCCGGGGCGCUGUGGCGCAUUAGCCCACCAAGCCGUGCCCAGAUGAAGCGGGAACUCUACAACGGCACGGCCGACAUCACCCUGCGCUUCACCUGGAACUUCCAGAGGUGCGUCCUGGACUUGGGGCAGUGCCUGGGUGGGUGAACCCACCACAGUGGGUGACGCUGUGUUCCCACCCACAGGGACCUGGCCAAGGGAGGCACCGUGGAGUAUGCCAACGAGAAGCACAUGCUGGCCCUGGCCCCCAACAGCACUGCACGGCGGCAGCUGGCCAGCCUGCUCGAGGGCACCUCGGACCAGUCUGUGGUCAUCCCCAAUCUCUUCCCCAAGUACAUCCGUGCCCCCAACGGGCCCGAAGCCAACCCUGUGAAGCAGCUGCAGCCCAGUGAGUGUGGGUGUGGGGGUUGGGGGAGGCUAGAGAGGGGUGACCUGCGGCCCCAACCGUCUUUUCGCUCUGCCCCAGAUGAGGAGGCCGACUACCUCGGCGUGCGUAUCCAGCUGCGGAGGGAGCAGGGUGCGGGGGCCACCGGCUUCCUCGAAUGGUGGGUCAUCGAGCUGCAGGAGUGCCGGACCGACUGCAACCUGCUGCCCAUGGUCAUUUUCAGCGACAAGGUCAGCCCACCGAGCCUCGGCUUCCUGGCUGGCUACGGGUGAGUGAGUGGCUGGGGGGGCACCCCGCGGCUUGGGGGGCUCUGGGCGGCCCCAGGACUCACCAGCUUCCCCCGCAGCAUCAUGGGGCUGUACGUGUCCAUCGUGCUGGUCAUCGGCAAGUUCGUGCGCGGAUUCUUCAGCGAGAUCUCGCACUCCAUUAUGUUCGAGGAGCUGCCGUGCGUGGACCGCAUCCUCAAGCUCUGCCAGGACAUCUUCCUGGUGCGGGAGACUCGGGAGCUGGAGCUGGAGGAGGAGUUGUACGCCAAGCUCAUCUUCCUCUACCGCUCCCCGGAGACCAUGAUCAAGUGGACUCGUGAGAAGGAGUAGGAGCUGCUGCUGGCGCCCGAGAGGGAAGGAGCCGGCCUGCUGGGCAGCGUGGCCACAAGGGGCGGUACUCCUCAGGCCGGGGGAGCCGCUGCCCCGUCCAAGGCCGCCAGCUGUGAUGCAUCCUCCCGGCCUGCCUGAGCCCUGAUGCUGCUGUCAGAGAAGGACACUGCGUCCCCACAGCCUGCGUGGCGCUGCCGUCCCCCACGCGUACUGUAGAGUUUUUUUAAUUAAAAAUGUUUUAUUUAUACAAAUGGACAA